ensembl:lincRNA Gm11375 predicted gene 11375
GAGAGAUCACAUGUCCCAGCUGAUGCGCAGAUUCUUCCCCACUGAAAUGGACGUUUCUGCCAAAGUCAAUGAGUAAAACUGACAGUGCGGAUGACUAACCUCCAGCCCAGAGCCUUUGGCAGCUCACACCUUUGUGCAAAGCACGAUCCAGUAGUUCCCUUUGGUUCUUUAUCGGCAUCUAUUUCUCUGAUGAGCUUGGGGAACUGUUAUUAUUAGCUAUUAUGUCCUACAACAACACUAAAAUAUCAUUUUAAGUUGAUUCUUUUCAAACAAUGACCACCCUGUAUAAAAUACGAAUGUCUGACCAAGGAAACAUGUGUGUUUCUUGGAUAAUACAUGCAUGUUUUGGAGACAC